GGGAGGUAGGGGAGUUGCUGGAGGUAGCGGGAGGUAGGGGAGUUGCUGGAGGUAGCGGGAGGUAGGGGGAGUUGCUGCAGGUAAGGGGAGUUGCUGGAGGUAGCGGGAGGUAGGGGAGUUGCUGGAGGUAGGGGAGUUGCUGGAUGUAGCGGGAGGUAGGGGAGUUGCUGGAGGUAGCGGGAGGUAGGGGGAGUUGCUGGAGGUAAGGGGAGUUGCUGGAGGUAGCGGGAGGUAAGGGGAGUUGCUGGAGGUAGCGGGAGGUAGGGGAGUUGCUGGAGGUAGCGGGAGGUAGCGGGAGUUGCUGGAGGUAGCGGGAGUUGCUGGAGGUAGGGGGAGUUGCUGGAAGUAAGGGGAGUUGCGGGAGGUAGGGGAGUUGUUGGAGGUAAGGGGAGUUGCUGGAGGUAGGAGGCAUUAGGGGAGUUGCUGGAGGUAGCGGGAGGUAGGGGGAGUUGCUGGAGAUAGGAGGAGGUAAGGGGAGUUGCUGGAGAUAGGAGGAGGUAAGGGGAGUUGCUGGAGGUAGGCGAGUUGCUGGAGGUAGGGGGAGUUAGGCGAGUUGCUGGAGGUAGGGGGAGUUUCUGAAGGUAGGGGAAGGUAAGGGAAGUUGCUGGAGGUUGGGGGAGUUUCUGAAGGUAGGGGAAGGUAAGGGAAGUUGCUGGAGGUUGGGGGAGUUUCUGAAGGUAGGGGAAGGUAAGGGAAGUUGCUGGAGGUUGGGGAGUUGCUGGAGUUAGGGGGAGUUGCUGGAGGUUGGGGAGUUAUAAGUAUUAUGUGAGUUACAGUGUUACGGCUGUUCAAGGUAUAAAGGUGUUAAUCUUAUUUUGUGUGUGUGUGUGUGUGUGUGUGUAUUUUAGGUUCUUCUCUGUGGCGGUUGUGAUGGGGAGGAGCUCCAUGCUGUGAUUAUCUGUUAUGCAGAUUAGGCCACGCCCAUCUCUGACAGUCCUCUACAGUAAUCUUAAAUGUUUUCUUAGCCUGAAUGUUUUUUUUUGUUUUGUUUUGUUUUAGUUUUUUAUGUGUUAAUCAGGUGAUGUCCUGCAGUUAUUGAUGUUUAUUUGAUGCGAGGUGUUAGCCUGUGUUUUUGUUUUUUAAUCUAUAUUCUCCAUAUGUUCCUCUCAGACUGUACUCUCUCAUACACACACCAAUAAACAGCACAGUAAACAGUGUGACACACACUAGGCUCUGAGCUGGUUAUUCCCUCACCCCGAGUUUCAGCUGUCUGCACCUGCAGUGUGGAGAAUGUACAGG
ensembl:lncRNA